AAGUCGUAACAAGGUUUCCGUAGGUGAACCUGCGGAAGGAUCAUUAACACGUAUCCACGUUAAACCCCCCCGUGAACCAUCCGUUAGAAAGUGGCAAUCCCUGGUAAAUCAUCGCCGAACAGUUUUCAGGGACUUCUGCGUGCAAGUGACCUGGCAUCCCUCUGCUUGUUCGUGUCUGAAAGUGUCACUAGCUCUGUACGGGUGGCGCAAUCACGAUCGCUAGAGGCCAACACGGCUGGCGACCGGGUCAAUGGGCCCUCGGCCCCCUAGAUCACCCCUUUGCAUGAAAACGGGUCUGCGCUUAAUUGUGCGGCCACCAAACUCGAACAACUGUUAACAAUGGAUAUCUUGGUUCUC
rnacentral:misc_RNA from 1 species